ensembl:lncRNA
GAGGAGGGGACAACAGAGGACGAGAUGGUUGGAUGGCAUCAUCAACUCAAUGGAUAAAAAUUUGAGCAAGCUCUGGGAGACAGGGAAGGACAGGGAAGCCUGGCAUGCUAUAGUUCACAGGAUUGCAAAGAAAAAACAUUAUCCAAUGUUUCCUCUAUCUUUUCAAGAAGCAUAUCUUUUACACAGCUGAAAGAAGUUUCUAAAACAGCCAUCAAAUCAUUCUGCUUCUUUGCCUUUAGUUCAUUCCUGGCUACCUACAGAUCACAGGUCAGGUUACUGGGCUCUGCAGCCAGGAUCCUCCAUCACCUUGCGCUGCCCAUUUACAUCUCUGGAGUCAGCUCCCAUCCCCUCGUCUAUGCAUUCCCUCUCCAGGGGCUCUUGAAGGCUGUACCCAAAGGGGUCAAUCAAGCCCCCCUGUGGUGGUCACAGUGGAGAUGCUUCGGAAGACCAAGGUGAUAAAAGGCCUCAUGAGACCAGCCACCCAAGAUGUGGAAGCAGAAACUCAGGCUCACUACUUUGCUUGAGGUUAUUGCUAGAAGGGAAUGAAGUUGAGAUUUCAGCCCAGGCCUCUUCCCUACACUUAGGCCCCCCAGGCCAUGACUGGAGGUCUGAAUGGAUGUGUCUGCUGGUCCAGGGAAUGGUUUCCUCUGAAAACUCUCUUUGCUACCUCAUGGGCCUUCAUCCAGCAGGGGAACCCAGUGUUUAACAUGCACACAAACCACCUGGAGAUCCUGCUGGGAUGAGGCCAAGGUUCUGCAUUUCUAAUAAGCUCCCAGGAGAUGCAGGUGCUGCUGGCCCUUAUUCAACACUUGAGUAACAAGACGCUGCUCUGCUGCCAGGAUAAUCUUCCUAAUGCAUACCUCUGAUCAUGUCCCUUGAAUGGAUUUGAACAGAUCUCUCACCCAGAGAAAGAACACAUGGAAAGAUGCUCAACAGCACUCGUCAUUAGGGAAAUGCAGGUUAAAACCACAGUGAGAUUACACUACACACCUAUUACAACGGCUAAAAAUAAAAAUUACAAUACCAAGUGCUGGUGAGAAUGCAGAAUAACUAGAACUUCCAUACUGCUGGGGAGAAGGCAGAAUC